UUAUGAUGAGACACAAGCUGGCACCAGUCAGAGUCGAUUUGUACUCAUAUCUUUGAAGACAAUGCUAUGGCCUUCGGGCCUCCUUCUGAA
rfam:Botryotinia fuckeliana T4 unplaced genomic scaffold BcT4_SuperSuperContig_P_V3__V4, whole genome shotgun sequence.